rnacentral:rRNA from 1 species
AACGAACGCUGGCGGCAGGCCUAACACAUGCAAGUCGAGCGGAGAUGAGGUGCUUGCACCUUAUCUUAGCGGCGGACGGGUGAGUAAUGCUUAGGAAUCUGCCUAUUAGUGGGGGACAACAUUCCGAAAGGAAUGCUAAUACCGCAUACGCCCUACGGGGGAAAGCAGGGGAUCUUCGGACCUUGCGCUAAUAGAUGAGCCUAAGUCGGAUUAGCUAGUUGGUGGGGUAAAGGCCUACCAAGGCGACGAUCUGUAGCGGGUCUGAGAGGAUGAUCCGCCACACUGGGACUGAGACACGGCCCAGACGCCUACGGGAGGCAGCAGUGGGGAAUAUUGGACAAUGGGCGGAAGCCUGAUCCAGCCAUGCCGCGUGUGUGAAGAAGGCCUUUUGGUUGUAAAGCACUUUAAGCGAGGAGGAGGCUACCUGGAUUAAUACUCUAGGAUAGUGGACGUUACUCGCAGAAUAAGCACCGGCUAACUCUUUGCCAGCAGCCGCCGUAACAC